GAUGAACGCUAGCGGCAGGCUUAAUACAUGCAAGUCGAACGGGAUUUAGGGGCUUGCCCUUAAUGAGAGUGGCGCACGGGUGAGUAACACGUACACAAUCUACCUUGUACAGGGGGAUAGCCUUGGGAAACUGAGAAUAAUACCCCAUAGUUUUAGUUAUCGCAUGAUGAUUAAAAUAAGCUGAGGCGGUACAAGAUGAGUGUGCGGAAUGAUUAGGUAGUUGGAAGGUAACGGCCUCCCAAGCCGACGAUCAAUAGCUGGCGUGAGAGCGCGACCAGCCACACUGGAACUGAGACACGGUCCAGACUCCUACGGGAGGCAGCAGUAGGGAAUAUUGGACAAUGGGCGGAAGCCUGAUCCAGCCAUGCCGCGUGGAGGAUUAAGGCCCUCUGGGUUGUAAACUCCUUUUAUCUGGGAAGAACCCUUCCGACUUGUCGGAACUUGACGGUACCAGAGGAAUAAGCACCGGCUAACUCCGUGCCAGCAGCCG
rnacentral:rRNA from 1 species